rfam:Chryseobacterium sp. Leaf394 contig_3, whole genome shotgun sequence.
GACUCGGUAGCUCAGCUGGUAGAGCAAUACACUUUUAAUGUAUGGGUCCUGGGUUC